UACAGGAGGGUGCGAGCGUUGUCCGGAAUCACUGGGCGUAAAGGGCGCGUAGGUGGUGGCUUAAGCGUGCGGUGAAAGCUCGGAGCUCAACCCCGAGUCGGCCGUGCGAACUGGGCUCACUGGAGCAUAGUAGAGGCAGGUGGAAUUCCGGGUGUAGCGGUGGAAUGCGUAGAGAUCCGGAAGAACACCGGUGGCGAAGGCGGCCUGCUGGGCUAUGGCUGACACUGAGGCGCGACGAGCGUGGGGAGCAAACAGG
rnacentral:rRNA from 1 species